UACGGAGGAUCCAAGCGUUAUCCGGAUUCAUUGGGUUUAAAGGGUGCGUAGGCGGACUGAUAAGUCAGUGGUGAAAUCCUUCAGCUUAACUGGAGAAUUGCCAUUGAUACUGUCAAUCUUGAGUACAUUUGAUGUGGGCGGAAUGUGUCAUGUAGCGGUGAAAUGCUUAGAUAUGACACAGAACACCGAUUGCGAAGGCAGCUCACAAAACUGUAACUGACGCUGAGGCACGAAAGCGUGGGUAUCAAACAGG
rnacentral:rRNA from 1 species